GCCCCCAUCUGGGCCGGCCAACUGGACCCCACCCAUGCACAAAUUUGUGCACCAGGUCUCUAGUGUUGAUAUAAAAAACGGGAGAAGGGAAAGCUCUUAGAAUGUCAGCUAAUAAAUGUAAUAAUGCAUCAGACAAUCAUUUACCUAAAAGCAAGUACAACUUAGAUGAGCAGAACGUAUACAUUGUCUUAAAAAUAUCUAUACACAAUCACAUUACUUGUUGAGGGAGUUAAACAAUUUUUUAUUUUAUUGAUUUUUUAGGGCGGAAAGGAGAAACAUCAAUUUGUCCCACUUAUUCAUGCAUUCAUUGGUUGAUUCUUGUGUGUGCCCUGACCUGUGAACCUGAAACUGGCACAUCAGGAUGACACACGUAACCAACUGACCUACCCAGCCAGGACCAUUGAGGUGCCUACUUGCUUAAAAAUACUUGGCCUGAACACUUAAGACAUUAACAUUUUUAUUCUCAUUCUCAGUGGGGAAGUAUGACCAUCCCCAUUUUAAAGAUUGCUAUGAUUUUCUAGAAUAUCUUGCAAGAAAUAGUUAACUGUUAUUCCCGUUUGAUAACCACGAAACAUGUGGGACUACUUAAGCUGAGAUGGGUUGGUAAAUUUUUCAUAGCCAGGCCUGGACCUUGAUUUCCUUAAGUUUUCAUACAGUUAAAACCAUGAUGUCCCCUUUUUAUUUUUUAUCACCAUUUAAAAUGCAGAAUGAUAUAUAUCACUCAAUGCUAUCUGCUAGGUAUUUUUCUGAAUUUUUUACAUGUAUUGAUUUACCUAAUCCUCAACUUCCAUGAGGUAAGUCUGGACCCACUUUACAUUCGAGUAUACUGAAGCACAGGAUUGGAGGGGGUGCUUAAGUUCUCUAGUUUCUUAAAUGAGAACUGCCCUUUUAAAAGAUAAUGUCUGUGUAUCUUAAAUGAAUAUCAAAUAAGAUGAUGUGAUGGGAAGGUUUUUAUAAAUAAGUCCUCUCAUAAUGAUUGUGAGAGUCCACAUUUAGGACUAAAUGCUAGAUCUUGUUUUCUUGGGCCUUUUGGAGAUAAGUUGGUGAAAGUAAAGCCCAAAAAGAUGUACAGGUGUGUUAAGGUUCCAACAACCAGGGCCUUCACCAGGACCAAAUAGUACUGUUCACAUUUUUAAAAAAAUUUUUAGUGACACCAUUAAGCCAGAGCAAUUAGCAAUUGUUAUAUUGCAUUUGUCAGCCAACCUUUACUUAUUUAUCACAAAGUAUCUCAGCUGUGUAUUGAUAGCAAAAAAAAAAAAAAAAAAAAAAAAAAAAAAGCCAGUUUGCUACUACAGUCAAUAAAAAUUGAAAGUAGGUUUGUUUUUAAAUCAGGUAAUGAAAAAUUUUUAAUAUGAGGUAAAUUUAAGAUACAUUAUGAUAUUCAAGAAUAGGAUGCAUUAAUAAAAUUUGUAUUCUGCUAGGUAAGUUUGAUUAAGUUUUGCUUGCAAUUGUGAAUAUUUUAUUCCCAUGUUUGGAGCAUUUCCAUGUAACUAGGAUUAUAUAGGCUAUUCUGAUAUACUGGUAUUUACUGAAAGGGGCUUCUCUCCCCCCAAGUACUGAAGUACUUUACUGUCCUGAUAAUGUCAUUUAUGGAGAAGAAUAUCUGGGCAAAAAAAAUGUAGGCUUUCUUAACAUUGCCAUAUUAAGUCAGUAAUGUUACUGAUUCAAAGAAAUGAAAUAGUUUGAAUAAGCAUUGGAAACAAUUCCUGGGAUGUCAGGCAGCCGUCCAUUGGUUCUCUGCCAAUGGACAGUGGCACAAGUCAUAGUGGUGAUAAAGUGCUACAUUAGACAUUUAGGAUUGAAAGAAAGGGGGAUGAAUAUUUUUAGAAACUGCUUUCAGCAGUUGCUAAGUAAAUAUUUUUUAAUUGCAAGACUGGUUUGCACUGUGCUAGCACACAGCUCUGUUAAAAGUGGUAUGGUAGUAUAGAUGUAGACAAAAACAUAUUGUAAAUUAGUCUCUGGAUUGUGUGUGUGUGUCCAAAAAAAAAAAAAGUCUGAAAAUACUUUCAACAAUUUUUAACAUUCUUUACCCCACUGUCCCUGUCAACUAGUGAAGAACUGCUGCUUUAUCUUGAAUUUUGUGACAGCAUGGAUUUUUUUAGCCUAUUAUACAAAAGUGCAAGUUCUGCACAAACAGUGAUAAGGAUUAAUUUUACUCACAAAUAGAUGACUGAUUAAGGAGCAUUUACUGAGUCUCAGGUGCCAGAAACUGCGACUCCCAGAGGUAUAUGCAAUAUGGGAUGUUUACCAAGAUAAAUGCAAUACUUGUGGAGCAGAUAGAGACCAGAGAAGAUAAUCUCAGAAUUGCAUCUUGAAGGAUGAGUAUGAUUUUAUGAGGCCAAGUAGACUCACCCUGAAGAAACUAAUCUUGGAAGAAUGGUAUAGCAAAACACACCCACGUGAAUAGUGUAAUAGAGCCAAGAUGAGUGAUACAGGUGGUGAGUGCUAGAGGUUCACAUUUGUCAGAUGACGAGAUUGUCCUGAGUCAAGUUUAGAGUAAGAGGAAAAGUCUCAGCCAGCCACGUCUAUCCAAAGACAAUGUUAUUGGUUUACAAGUAGAUCUGAAUGGUCAUGAGGUAAAUGGGGACAGAGGAGGUAGAUAGAGUGAGAACAGCCUCAAAUUUGUGGUGAGGACUCCUUGGGCUCAAUCACAUUGAAGCAAGUCUGUUGGAUGCUAAGGCUGAUAAUCUCCUCUGGUCUAAAUAUAUUCUAAUGUUUUAAAUGCCACUUGUCCACCUUUGAUUUCUAUCUUUAGCAGGAAAUGUGCUAUAUUUAUAACGGCAUGAGGAAGGGAAAUUCCAGACAUUAAUUUUACUCAAGUGUGCAUUGUCAGGAGCCUUGAUAAGAUUUUGCAGCUUUCAAAGUCUAAAUAUAGCCAAUCCUAUGCCUUUUGUCUCCAGAUAUACAGAGUGAUAACAAGCUAAGAUGGAUAAGCAAGAAAAUAGCAAUGCAUGGAAAGUAAACAAAGGUCAUUGCAUUUUGAAGCUCUCUCUGAUCUCCCUAUAAAAUAUCCUCUUCAAGGUCACAGCUGAUUAGUGGCAGGGCUAGGACUGAACCCAGCUGAUGCCCUUUUGUCACUAAACUACUCCAAGCCCAGGGCAGUUAUCCUUAGUUCCCGGACCAGCAGCAGCUGGGGACUUGUUAGAAAUGCAAAUUCUCAUGCCCUGCUCCAGACCUGCAGAAUCAGCACUGAGAUGAGAAACACGGGCCAAAAUGAACUGGCAAGAGACCUAAGUGUAAAGAUCUAUUUCAGUUUCCUCAUCUAUAAAAAGAGAAUAAUCACUAGAUUGUCACCAUGCUGCUGGUUGAGUGGUCAGAAAAAAACCAUAUACGUCAAAAUGUUUGCCCCAGACAGUGAAAGGCUGAAACAUCCCUGCUCCGUUCCACACCUGGUGACAUGUUAACUCAAAGUAGCUGUGGUGGGGAAUGGGAAACCCUAUAUAACCAGGGCUGCCCGCCCACUCCCACCCCCAGCACUCCACUGGCUCGAUUACAAAGUUCCUUGUCCUGGUUUGUAACUUAGAACUUGAGUUAGAAUUACUUUUUAAGUGAUUGUUAGAAUCCCUGUAAGUUGCAAACUUAAAAAAAAAAAAAUUAGUUUAGGAGAAAACCGGUUUGGCUCAGUAGAUAGAGUGUC